GCCUCGUUGGCGUAGUGGUAGCGCGUCUCACUUGUAGCUUACGUAGUUACUACGUAAUAUGACAUGAGAAGGUCACUCGUUCAAUCCGGGUACGAGGCA
rnacentral:tRNA from 1 species